AGAGUUUGAUCAUGGCUCAGGGUGAACGCUGGCGGCGUGCUUGACACAUGCAAGUCGAACGGUAUGUGGCAACACAUAGAGUGGCGAACGGGUGAGUAACACGUGGGAACGUAUCUUUUGCAGGGGGAUAACUGACCGAAAGGACAGCUAAUACCGCAUAAGUCCGAGAGGAGAAAGGUGCAACAGCAUCGGCAGAAGAGCGGCCCGCGGUCCAUCAGCUAGUUGGUGAGGUAAGGGCUUACCAAGGCGACGACGGAUAGCCGGCGUGAGAGCGUGGCCGGCCACAAGGACACUGAGAUACGGGUCCUACUCCUACGGGAGGCAGCAGUGCGGAAUUUUAGAUAAUGGAGGGAACUCUGAUCUAGCGACGCCGCGUGCAGGAAGAAGGUCUUCGGAUUGUAAACUGCUGUGGUAAGGGAAAAAUGCUAUGUAGAGUGGAAAGCUACAUAGAGGGAUGGUACCUUACUAGAAAGCCCCGGCUAACUACGUGCCAGCAGCCGCGGUAAUACGUAGGGGGCGAGCGUUACCCGGAAUCACUGGGCGUAAAGGGAGCGUAGGUGGCCUAACAUGUCAACUGUGAAAACCCGGAGCUCAACUCCGGACUUGCAGUUGAAACUGGUAGGCUUGAGGACGGUAGAGGAAGACGGAACUGCCAGUGUAGGGGUAAAAUCCUUAGAUAUUGGCAGGAACGCCGGUGACGAAGGUGGUUUUCUGGGCCGGUUCUGACACUGAUGCUCGAAAGCCAGGGGAGCGAACGGGAUUAGAUACCCCGGUAGUCCUGGCCCUAAACGAUGUUCACUAGGUGUGGGGAGCGGAAAGCUCUCCGUGCUAAAGCUAACGCGAUAAGUGAACCGCCUGGGGAGUACGCCCGCAAGGGUGAAACUCAAAGGAAUUGACGG
rnacentral:rRNA from 1 species